GGUUGAUCCCGCCGGACCUGACUGCUAUCGGAUUGAUAUUAAGCCAUGUUAGUCUUUGUAGUAAUACAAGGCAGACGGCUCAGUAACACGUAGUCAACCUAACCUAUGGACGAGGAUAACUUCGGGAAACUGAGGAUAAUACUCGAUAGGUCAUUAUGCCUGGAAUGGUUUAUGGUCGAAAUGAAUUUCGCCGUAGGAUGGGACUGCGGGCUAUCAGCUUGUUGGUGAGGUAAUGGCCCACCAAGGCGAUUACAGCUACGGGCUCUGAGAGGAGUAGCCCGGAGAUGGGUACUGAGACAAGGACCCAGGCCCUAUGGGGCGCAGCAGGCGAGAAAACUUUGCAAUGAGCGAAAGCUCGACAAGGUUAAUCCGAGUGGUUUCUGCUAAAGGAACCUUUUGCUAGUCGUAAAACCACUAGCGAAUAAGGGGUGGGCAAGUUCUGGUGUCAGCCGCCGCGGUAAAACCAGCACCUCAAGUGGUCAGGAUGAUUAUUGGGCCUAAAGCAUCCGUAGCCUGUUUUGUAAAUCUCCGGUUAAAUCCAUCAACUCAAGUGAUGGGCCGCCGGAGAUACUGCAAAACUAGGGAAUGGGAGAGGUAGACGGUACUCGGUAGGAAGGGGUAAAAUCCUUUGAUCUAUUGAUGACCACCUGUGGCGAAGGCGGUCUACCAGAACAUGUUCGACGGUGAGGGAUGAAAGCUGGGGGAGCGAACCGGAUUAGAUACCCGGGUAGUCCCAGCUGUAAACGAUGCAGACUCGGUGAUGCGUUGGCUUGUUGCUAGCGCAGUGCCGCAGGAAGCCGUUAAGUUUGCCGCCUGGGAAGUACGUACGCAAGUAUGAAACUUAAAGGAAUUGGCCGGGGGAGCACCACAAGGGGUGAAGCCUGCGGUUCAAUUGGAGUCAACGCC
rnacentral:rRNA from 1 species